rnacentral:lncRNA from 1 species
AUACCUUUUGGUCUCCUCAAAAGGCGUAUUUUUCAAAAAGUUUAUUUCCAUGUGAAAAGUCACUGUUAAUAAGACAGUAGAUGAAAUUAGCACUCUGUGGAUGGAGAAGACUGAGCUAUCGUUUGAAAAUUUGGCAACCAGCAUCUUAUGAUCUUGUCUAACUUGUCUAGCUGCUUUUCGGAGUUACAGCUUGUACAAAAUGUACCUUUAAAUAAGUGUUUUACUCCACUUUCAAAUGUUGUCUGCAACUAAGAAAUCGUUGUUCACUCUUAAAGCAUUAAAAAACUCAACCAUGUAAAAAUCAAGUCAGUUCAGCUUUCACUUUAUUUUUCUUUUGGCGUAAUUUGGCGUAAUUUAACACAAUAAAGAUGACGAAUUUCGGUUGAAAUUUUAGCCAGAAAGCAAGUUGUCGAAAAUACUCAAGUUAAAGUCGGUUUCUUUGACGAGGCCGCCAAAGUAUUCUACAAGAUUAUAUUUAUAUUAAAUAAAAAAAUGUCAUUAAACGAAACAAAUUAAUUACAAGGACGAAACCAGUUGCCCUACACUGAAAUUACCAGUUAGGGGAAAAAAAAAUUAAAAAAUAGAUGAUUCCAUAAGGUAGGUUUUAUAGUUGGUAUUUCUUUCAAUUAUCGAGCUUUCCACGGGUAUAAGAUUUGCAAAAAUGAUUAUGGCGAGGCGGGGACAAGUUGUAAAACAAAAAAGGUAAAAGUUUAUAAAUUAAAUCCGCAGUAAAGGUAAUUUUAUAAAAUUAAUUAGCACUUUCUAUGUCAAAGAAGAGUAGAGAAGCCGCAUGUAUAAGAUUUCUUAAUUAAUGAAAGGCCGACGGCGAGUUGUAAAAGAAGUUGUCGGUAAUGUAAUAUUGACUCUUCCGACUUACACAUAUAAUUAAUAUAAAGAGCUCGAGAAAACAAGCAAGCUAAGGCAGUCAACUGGAGUAACUGCUGAGUUGUCCAUACACCAGUCGUUUUCAAGUUGUUUAAAAAUGAAGAUCCAAUCUGUUGUAUUUCUUACUGCUGUUCUAAUGCUCACAACGUUGGUGGCUGAGAGUGAAUGCAUUGGUCCAGGAACACCACGAAAACGGGAACACCAAGAAAAGGUUGAGAGAGAAUUAAAGAACUUCCCGGAAGUGAAAAGAAGCAAAGGAAUGGAGAGGAGAGAAUUCGACAAUUACAACGAAGAAAAGGACAAAUAACCAUGUAAACUAAAGGGCUGCUUUUAAGAUAAUCACCACACAGAAAGUGUAACUUAAUGGAUUAUCGUGUGAAAGAAAUAAAAAUCAAGGAAUGUAAAAGUAAUUAUUUUUGUUUGGUUUUGUGUCAGUUGGACAACAUCUAUGACGCAGAAACAUACAUAUCUGCAGUUUACCGUUUUGUUUGGUUCGUAGAAAUUGAGAAUGCAAGGAGAAGGGAGAGAGCGUAAAGGAGAAAAGCAAUUCAUAUGAUACGGUGAAUGUGAAAUUCUGAGAGAGCGGCAAGCAUUGAAGGAAUGAAGGCCCAAACUGUGUUAGUUCUUGCCGCUCUUUUUCUGCUCGCAAAUCUCGUUACUAAUAGUCACGCGUUUAGCCCGCCUCUACCAGGAAAGAAAAGAGAGUUGGAAAGAAAGCUGCAGAUUGAGAGAGGCGCAAUGAAUCUUCGUGAUCUUAAAAGAACCGUUGCAUGCGGGGGACUGGAGAGGAAAGCAUCCGACGAUUACAAUGAAGAAAAAGGAAAAUAAACAAGUAUAAUUAAAGGACUGAUUAAAACAAUGUUAUAUGACGAUUAUCACCCCGGAUGACGAAAAUACUGUAACCUAAUGGAUUAUCAUAGCAAACAAAUAAAAUGUAAAGAUUAA